CCUACUGGUCCAGUCCAGGAGAGGACGGAGGAGGGAUGGACUGGCUCUGCUGCAUCCCGCUCUCCCGAGGCCGAGGCCGAGGCCGAGGCCGCAGGCGUCGUCACGGCAGAGAUGGCCUCUGCCAGGCCUGCAGAACCUGGAUGAGAACGCGAGGCGGACGCCUAUGGGCCGUUGCCCGCAGGGACCCAGAGAGUCCCCCACCCGAGACCCGCCAGGAACAGGGUGAGGAAGGCAGAAGGCCACCCGAGGAACCUCCACACAGACUGCUCCCCGGGGUCCUCUGCCGGGCUGGUGGGGAGCGCAGGAACGCCAGCUGUGGCCAUGAAGACACCGUCCACAUGAGCCUGACAACCCUGGAAGGCCUGGCCCCUCCUGAGGCCCAGCCUGAAGCAGGAGACCUGGAAUCCGAGGCCAAGACGCCAGCCGAGCGGAAAGACCCUGGAACAGCCCCCAGAGGAGGUCCAAGACCACAGGAGGACUCAGCACCUGGGCAGGGAGGAAAUGUAGCUCCUUCAGAGGGACACUCCUGUCCACAUGGGGACUCACCUCCCGGGGAGAAUGAACACUCUGCUCCUCUCCCAAUAGGCCCAACUCCUCUUGAGGAGUCACCACCCGGGCAGGGUGGAAACAAGGUGCCUCCUGCAGGAGGACCAGGCCCCCAUGAAGACUCAACUCAUGGGCAGGAUCAACCUGCUGCUCAUCCUGAAGGAAGACCAGAGCCUCCUGAGGUCUCACCUCCCGGGCAGGAUGAAAAUCCUGCUCUUCCUCCUGGUGGACGAGGCUCUCAGGAGGACUCACGAGCCGGGAGGGAUGAAAAUCCUGCUCCUCCUGCUGGAGGACCAGGCUCUCAUGAGGACUCACUAGCUGGCAGGGAGGAAAAUGCUUCUCCUCCUCCUGGAGGACAAGGCUCUCAGGUGGACUCAGCAGCCUUGCAGGAUGAAAAUACUGCUCCUCCUCCUGGAUUACGAAGCUCUCAUGACGACUCAGCAGCCGUGCAGGAUGAAAAACCUGCUCCUCCUCCUGGAGGACGAGGCUCUCGUGAGGACUUACUAGCUGAGCCGGAUGAAAAACCUGCUCCUCCUCCUGGAGGACCCGGUUCUCAGGAGGACUCACGAGCCGGGAAGGAUGAAAAUCCUGUUCCUCCUCCUGGAGGACGAGACUUUCAUGAUGUUUCACCAGCCGGGCAGGUUGAACAUCUUGCUCCUCCUCCUGGAGGACCCGGUUCUCAUGAGGACUCACCAGCCGGACCCAAUGAAAAUCCUGCUCCUCCUCCUGGAGGACAAGGCUCUCAGGUGGAUUCACCAGCCAGGCAGGAUGUAAAUCCUGCUCCACCUCCUGGAGGACGAGGCUCU
rnacentral:lncRNA from 9 species